GGGUUGUGAGGUUAAGCGACUAAGCGUACACGGUGGAUGCCCUGGCAGUCAGAGGCGAUGAAGGGCGUGCUAAUCUGCGAUAAGCGCCGGUAAGGUGAUAUGAACCGUUAUAACCGGCGAUACCCGAAUGGGGAAACCCAGUGUGAUUCGUCACACUAUCAUUAACUGAAUCCAUAGGUUAAUGAGGCGAACCGGGGGAACUGAAACAUCUAAGUACCCCGAGGAAAAGAAAUCAACCGAGAUUCCCCCAGUAGCGGCGAGCGAACGGGGAGGAGCCCAGAGCCUGAAUCAGCAUGUGUGUUAGUGGAAGCGUCUGGAAAGGCGCGCGAUACAGGGUGACAGCCCCGUACACAAAAGCGCAUGUGCUGUGAGCUCGAUGAGUAGGGCGGGACACGUGGUAUCCUGUCUGAAUAUGGGGGGACCAUCCUCCAAGGCUAAAUACUCCUGACUGACCGAUAGUGAACCAGUACCGUGAGGGAAAGGCGAAAAGAACCCCGGCGAGGGGAGUGAAAAAGAACCUGAAACCGUGUACGUACAAGCAGUGGGAGCCCCACCACUAAGCCAGUGGUGAACUCCACAUACGCAUCCUUUGCUGAGGAUACGGUUAACGGAGCGAAAGCGACGUUCAACCGCAAAAGAAGCAGAGGGGGCUUAGUGGUGGGGUGACUGCGUACCUUUUGUAUAAUGGGUCAGCGACUUAUAUUCUGUAGCAAGGUUAACCGAAUAGGGGAGCCGGAGGGAAACCGAGUCUUAAUUGGGCGUUAAGUUGCAGGGUAUAGACCCGAAACCCGGUGAUCUAGCCAUGGGCAGGUUGAAGGUUGGGUAACACUAACUGGAGGACCGAACCGACUAAUGUUGAAAAAUUAGCGGAUGACCUGUGGCUGGGGGUGAAAGGCCAAUCAAACCGGGAGAUAGCUGGUUCUCCCCGAAAGCUAUUUAGGUAGCGCCUCGUGAACUCAUCGGGGUAGAGCACUGUUUCGGCUAGGGGGCCAUCCCGGCUUACCAACCCGAUGCAAACUGCGAAUACCGGAGAAUGUUAUCACGGGAGACACACGGCGGGUGCUAACGUCCGUCGUGAAGAGGGAAACAACCCAGACCGCCAGCUAAGGUCCCAAAGUCAUGGUUAAGUGGGAAACGAUGUGGGAAGGCCCAGACGAUGUUGGCUUAGAAGCAGCCAUCAUUUAAAGAAAGCGUAAUAGCUCACUGGUCGAGUCGGCCUGCGCGGAAGAUGUAACGGGGCUAAACCAUGCACCGAAAACGUAUCACUUAAAGCGAUUCAGCGGGUUACGAUUGACGGAGCGAAGCGACGUCAAAGCGUAUACAAAGUCGAGUCGGUUUAAGGAUACGUUCGUUGGGUAGGGGAGCGUUCUGUAAGCCUGCGAAGGUGGCCUGUGAGGGUUGCUGGAGGUAUCAGAAGUGCGAAUGCUGACAUAAGUAACGAUAAAGCGGGUGAAAAGCCCGCUCGCCGGAAGACCAAGGGUUCCUGUCCAACGUUAAUCGGGGCAGGGUGAGGGCCGAAAGGCGUAGUCGAUGGGAAACGGGUUAAUAUUCCCGUACUUGGUGUUACUGCGAAGGGGGGACGGAGAAGGCUAUGUUGGCCGGGCGACGGUUGUCCCGGUUUAAGCGUGUAGGUGUGCCUCUAAGCAUCAGGUAACAUCAAAUCGUACCCCAAACCGACACAGGUGGUCAGGUAGAGAAUACCAAGGCGCUUGAGAGAACUCGGGUGAAGGAACUAGGCAAAAUGGUGCCGUAACUUCGGGAGAAGGCACGCUGACACGUAGGUGAAGUGAUUUACUCAUGGAGCUGAAGUCAGUCGAAGAUACCAGCUGGCUGCAACUGUUUAUUAAAAACACAGCACUGUGCAAACACGAAAGUGGACGUAUACGGUGUGACGCCUGCCCGGUGCCGGAAGGUUAAUUGAUGGGGUCAGCGCAAGCGAAGCUCCUGAUCGAAGCCCCGGUAAACGGCGGCCGUAACUAUAACGGUCCUAAGGUAGCGAAAUUCCUUGUCGGGUAAGUUCCGACCUGCACGAAUGGCGUAAUGAUGGCCAGGCUGUCUCCACCCGAGACUCAGUGAAAUUGAACUCGCUGUGAAGAUGCAGUGUACCCGCGGCAAGACGGAAAGACCCCGUGAACCUUUACUAUAGCUUGACACUGAACAUUGAGCCUUGAUGUGUAGGAUAGGUGGGAGGCUUUGAAGUGUGGACGCCAGUCUGCAUGGAGCCGACCUUGAAAUACCACCCUUUAAUGUUUGAUGUUCUAACGUGGACCCGUAAUCCGGGUUGCGGACAGUGUCUGGUGGGUAGUUUGACUGGGGCGGUCUCCUCCUAAAGAGUAACGGAGGAGCACGAAGGUUGGCUAAUCUUGGUCUGACAUCAGGAGGUUAGUGCAAUGGCAUAAGCCAGCUUGACUGCGAGCGUGACGGCGCGAGCAGGUGCGAAAGCAGGUCAUAGUGAUCCGGUGGUUCUGAAUGGAAGGGCCAUCGCUCAACGGAUAAAAGGUACUCCGGGGAUAACAGGCUGAUACCGCCCAAGAGUUCAUAUCGACGGCGGUGUUUGGCACCUCGAUGUCGGCUCAUCACAUCCUGGGGAAGUAGGUCCCAAGGGUAUGGCUGUUCGCCAUUUAAAGUGGUACGCGAGCUGGGUUUAGAACGUCGUGAGACAGUUCGGUCCCUAUCUGCCGUGGGCGCUGGAGAACUGAGGGGGGCUGCUCCUAGUACGAGAGGACCGGAGUGGACGCAUCACUGGUGUUCGGGUUGUCAUGCCAAUGGCACUGCCCGGUAGCUAAAUGCGGAAGAGAUAAGUGCUGAAAGCAUCUAAGCACGAAACUUGCCCCGAGAUGAGUUCUCCCUGAGACUUUAGGUCUCCUGAAGGAACGUUGAAGACGACGACGUUGAUAGGCCGGGUGUGUAAGCGCAGCGAUGCGUUGAGCUAACCGGUACUAAUGAACCGUGAGGCUUAACCUUACAACGCCGAAG
rnacentral:rRNA from 1 species